rnacentral:rRNA from 1 species
CAAUAGCGUAUAUUAAAGUUGUUGCAGCUAAAAAGCUCGUAGUUGGAUUUGUGGCGUACGGUGUGUUCCGGGCACUUGUUGUCUGAGUAACCUGCUGUUGCCAUCCUUGGGUGGAACCUGUGUGGCAUUAGGUUGUCGUGCAGGGGAUGCCCACCAUUUACUGUGAAAAAAUUAGAGUGUUCAAAGCAGGCUUAUGCCGUUGAAUAUAUUAGCAUGGAAUAAUGAGAUAGGACUUUUUUGCUAUUUUGUUGGUUUGCGCAAAGAGGUAAUGAUUAAUAGGGACAGUUGGGGGUAUUCGUAUUCCAUUGUCAGAGGUGAAAUUCUUGGAUUUUUGGAAGACGAACUACUGCGAAAGCAUUUACCAAGGAUGUUUUCAUUAA